UUUAUUUUAGAUUCUAAUUUUUGAAAAACUAAAAAGAAUUGGCAAAUUUAUUACCAAGCGAAAAUAAAGAGCAAAUCCUAAAAUAUCUACAAGAACAUCCACAGGAGAGGCCAUCACAUUCCUUGGCGUAUAUCCAGUAAAAAAAGCAAAUAGCACGACAGUAACACAACGGAUAUACAAAUACCUACAACUGCACGGGGAGCAACGUGGCUUUUUUAAAUCAAUCUAUGGAGGCGAAGCCAUGUUAAAGAAAAAUCCACAAGCCAAGCCUUCACUUGCAUUGGCUGCAGACAUUUACGCUGCUCAAGUGUCUUCAAUUGGAAAAUGUUUAUCCUUGUACUGAUGGAACAUAUAUGUUCUUGAGAACGAUGUUUUUAGAACGAUGUAAAAUUUCUAAGAAAUGUUAAAGGUUAUUUUUGAAAACUAUUUUCAAUUUAAUGAAAUGUAUUAUUCUUACGACUUUUUUAAUAACUUUUGACGAAAUGACGCUCUUACAGUACAUUAGCUUGUAACAACAACAACAUAAGAAUCUUAUAGUUGGAUUAUCGUAAAUUCUAAUUUUUAAUUAAUCAAUAUGUACUUAAGUCGGAUAAAAAGUGAAACAGAAAAUAUAUGGGUACUAGAACUUCGCAAGUAUUUAUUAAAUGUGUUCAUAGUUUUAUUGAAAGUCACAAAAUUCAUUUUC
rnacentral:lncRNA from 1 species